CCUACGGGUGGCAGCAGUGAGGAAUAUUGGUCAAUGGGCGCGAGCCUGAACCAGCCAAGUAGCGUGAAGGAUGACUGCCCUACGGGUUGUAAACUUCUUUUAUAAAGGAAUAAAGUGAGGCACGUGUGCCUUUUUGUAUGUACGUUAUGAAUAAGGAUAGGCUAACUCCGUGCCAGCAGCCGCGGUAAGACGGAGGAUCCGAGCGUUAUCCGGAUUGAUUGGGUUUAAAGGGAGCGUAGAUGGGUUGUUAAGUCAGUUGUGAAAGUUUGCGGCUCAACCGUAAAAUUGCAAUUGAUACUGGCAGUCUUGCGUACAGUUGCGGUCGGCGGAAUUCGUUGUGUAGCGGUGACAUGCUUAGAUAUCACGCAGAACUCCGAUUGCGACGGCAGCUUUCUAAACUGCCCCUGACAUUGAUGCUCGAAAGUGUGGGUAUCAAACAGGAUUCGAUACCCGGGUAGUC
rnacentral:rRNA from 1 species